GAUGAACGCUGGCGGCGUGCCUAAUACAUGCAAGUCGAGCGAACAGACGAGGAGCUUGCUCCUCUGACGUUAGCGGCGGACGGGUGAGUAACACGUGGAUAACCUACCUAUAAGACUGGGAUAACUUCGGGAAACCGGAGCUAAUACCGGAUAAUAUAUUGAACCGCAUGGUUCAAUAGUGAAAGACGGUUUUGCUGUCACUUAUAGAUGGAUCCGCGCCGCAUUAGCUAGUUGGUAAGGUAACGGCUUACCAAGGCAACGAUGCGUAGCCGACCUGAGAGGGUGAUCGGCCACACUGGAACUGAGACACGGUCCAGACUCCUACGGGAGGCAGCAGUAGGGAAUCUUCCGCAAUGGGCGAAAGCCUGACGGAGCAACGCCGCGUGAGUGAUGAAGGUCUUCGGAUCGUAAAACUCUGUUAUUAGGGAAGAACAAAUGUGUAAGUAACUAUGCACGUCUUGACGGUACCCUAUCAGAAAGCCACGGCUAACUACGUG
rnacentral:rRNA from 1 species